rnacentral:rRNA from 1 species
UACGUAGGGGGCAAGCGUUGUCCGGAAUCAUUGGGCGUAAAGAGCGUGUAGGCGGUCCGGUAAGUCGGCUGUGAAAGUCCAGGGCUCAACCCUGGGAUGCCGGUCGAUACUGCCGGACUAGAGUUCGGAAGAGGCGAGUGGAAUUCCCGGUGUAGCGGUGGAAGUGCGCAGAUAUCAGGAAGAACACCAACGGCGAAGGCAGCUCGCUGGGACGGAACUGACGCUGAGGCGCGAAAGCGUGGGGAGCGAACAGG